rnacentral:lncRNA from 1 species
UGUGGCUGGCCAGGGAAGCGUAGAGAGCAUCAAACUACCUUUGCUGUGGGGAAAGCCCUGACUUGAACCAUCUUGGUACCUCCCACAUUGGAGGUUUAAAGUCCCGCUCAGAUGGCAUCCAUCGACCGUGGGUAGAAACAGAAGAGGAGCUGAAGGAGCCAUUAGGCCAUGAAAUCAGAUUUCCCACACCUGCCCAUCUGCUAUGAGUCCAGCAUCUUUGGAUAAAGCAUGUUCCACCCAUCUGGCAUUCAUCUGAAGACAUCAGACGUCCACUAAUUCUGUAAGUAGUUUCUUCUGAAUUUUAAAUAUGGGAUAACA